UACAGAGGUGGCAAGCGUUGUUCGGAAUUACUGGGCGUAAAGGGCGCGUAGGCGGCCUUCUAAGUCAGACGUGAAAUCCCCCGGCUUAACCUGGGAACUGCGUCUGAUACUGGGAGGCUUGAGUGUGGGAGAGGGAUGUAGAAUUCCAGGUGUAGCGGUGAAAUGCGUAGAUAUCUGGAGGAAUACCGGUGGCGAAGGCGGCAUCCUGGACCAUUACUGACGCUGAGGCGCGAAAGCUAGGGGAGCAAACGGG
rnacentral:rRNA from 1 species